rnacentral:misc_RNA from 1 species
GAAAUGCGAUAACUAGUGUGAAUUGCAGAAUUUCGUGAAUCAUCGAGUCUUUGAACGCACAUUGCGCCCCCUGGUAUUCCGGGGGGCAUGCCUGUCCGAGCGUCAUUGCUGCCCAUCAAGCACGGCUUGUGUGUUGGGUCGUCGUCCCCUCUCCGGGGGGGACGGGCCCCAAAGGCAGCGGCGGCACCGCGUCCGAUCCUCGAGCGUAUGGGGCUUUGUCACCCGCUCUGUAGGCCCGACCGGCGCUUGCCGAACGCAAAUCAAUCUUUUUCCAGGUUGACCUCGGAUCAGGUAGGGAUACCCGCUGAACUUAAGC